rnacentral:rRNA from 1 species
CCAGACUCCUACGGGAGGCAGCAGUGGGGAAUAUUGCACAAUGGGGGAAACCCUGAUGCAGCGACGCCGCGUGGGCGAGGAAGUACCUCGGUAUGUAAAGCCCUAUCAGCAGGGAAGAAACAGGACAGUACCUGACUAAGAAGCCCCGGCUAACUACGUGCCAGCAGCCGCGGUAAUACGUAGGGGGCAAGCGUUAUCCGGAUUCACUGGGCGUAAAGGGAGCGCAGGCGGCAUGGCAAGUCUGGAGUGAAAUCCCGGGGCUUAACCCCGGAACUGCUUUGGAAACUGUGCGGCUGGAGUGCAGGAGGGGUAAGCGGAAUUCCUAGUGUAGCGGUGAAAUGCGUAGAUAUUAGGAGGAACACCGGUGGCGAAGGCGGCUUACUGGACUGUAACUGACGUUGAGGCUCGAAAGCGUGGGGAGCAAACAGGAUUAGAUACCCUAGUA